GGGGGAUUUCCCGAGCGGUCAAAGGGGGCAGACUGUAAAUCUGCUGGUUUUACCUUCGAUGGUUCGAAUCCAUCAUCCCCCA
rnacentral:tRNA from 1 species